GCCCGGAUAGCUCAAUUGGAUAGAGCAGGAGCGUUCUAAGCUCUUGGUUGGGGGUUCGAGUCCCUCUCCGGGUA
rnacentral:tRNA from 1 species